CAGGAUGAAUCGCGAUGUAAGAAGCUUGAUUUUGAUACAUAAAGUAAUGGAGAAUCACAAGGAAGUUGAAUAAAUCUCAUAGGAGUUAGGAUGAAGAAGCUAUCCCACUUUCAAAUAAGGUGAUCCCAGUUUUCCUGUUUGGGAAUAUGACAACUUCUUCGUCACUCUAAUCAAACCAGGAUGAAUCGCGAUGUGAGAAGCUUGAUUUUGAUACAUAAAGUAGUGGAGAAUCACUAGAAAGUUGAAUAAAUCUCAUAGGAGUUAGGAUGAAGAAGCUAUCCCACUUUGAAAUCAGGUGGUCGCAGUUUUCUUGUUUGGGAAUAUGACAACUUCUUCGUCAUUCUAAUCAAACCAGGAUGAAUCGCGAUGUGAGAAGCUUGAUUUUGAUACAUAAAGUAGUGGAGAAUCACCAGGAAGUUGAAUAAAACAAAUAGGAGUUAAGAUGAAGAAGCUAUCACACUUUCAAAUUAGGUGAUCCUAGUUUUCCUGUUUGGGAAAAUGACAACUUCUUUGUCACUCUAAUCAAACCAGGAUGAAUCGCGAUGUAAGAAGCUUGAUUUUGAUACAUAAAUUAGUGGAGAAUCACCAGAAAGUUGAAUAAAUCUCAUAGGAGUUAGGAUGAAGAAGCUAUCCCACUUUGAAAUCAGGUAGUUUUCUUGUUUGGGAAUAUGACAACUUCUUCGUCAUUCUAAUCAAACCAGGAUGAAUCGAGAUGUUAGAAGCUUUAUUUUGAUACAUAAAGUUGUGGAGAAUCACUAGGAAGUUGAAUAAAUCUCAUAGGAGUUAGGAUGAAGAAGCUAUCCCACUUUCAAAUAAGGUGAUCACAGUUUUCCUGUUUGGGAAUAUGACAACUUCGUUGUCAUUCUAAUCAAACCAGGAUGAAUCGCGAUGUAAGAAGCUUUAUUUUGAUACAUAAAGUAGUGGAGAAUCACCAGAAAGUUGAAUAAAUCUCAUAGGAGUUAUGAUGAAGAAGCUAUCACACUUUCAAAUCAGGUGAUCCCAGUUUUCCUGUUUGGGAAUAUGACAACUUCUUCGUCAUUCUAAUCAAACCAGGAUGAAUCACGAUGUAAGA
rnacentral:lncRNA from 1 species